rnacentral:rRNA from 1 species
ACUCCUACGGGAGGCAGCAGUGGGAAAUAUUGGACAAUGGGCCACAAGCCUGAUCCAGCAAUUCUGUGUGCACGAUGAAGGUCUUCGGAUUGUAAAGUGCUUUCAGUUGGGAAGAAGAAAGUGACGGUACCAACAGAAGAAGCGACGGCUAAAUACGUGCCAGCAGCCGCGGUAAU